UACGUAGGGUGCAAGCGUUUGUCCGGAAUUAUUGGGCGUAAAGAGCUCGUAGGCGGUUUGUCGCGUCGGCUGUGAAAACUGGAGGCUUAACCUUCAGCGUGCAGUCGAUACGGGCAGACUUGAGUUCGGUAGGGGAGACUGGAAUUCCUGGUGUAGCGGUGAAAUGCGCAGAUAUCAGGAGGAGCACCGGUGGCGAAGGCGGGUCUCUGGGCCGAUACUGACGCUGAGGAGCGAAAGCGUGGGGAGCGAACAGG
rnacentral:rRNA from 1 species